AGCAGCCGCGGUAAUUCCAGCUCCAAUAGCGUAUAUUAAAGUUGUUGCAGUUAAAAAGCUCGUAGUUGAAUUUCGGGAUCAAUAUGUCGGUCGUGCCUCGGUACGUACUGGCAUCAUUGGUUUCUCCCUUCUGAAGAACCAUGAUGUCAUUAAUUUGGUGUCAUGGGGAAUCAGGACUGUUACUUUGAAAAAUUAGAGUGUUUAAAGCAGGCUCGCGCUUGAAUACAUUAGCAUGGAAUAAUGAAAUAGGACGUUUAAUUCUAUUUUGUUGGUUUCUAGGAUUGACGUAAUGAUUAAUAGGGAUAGUUGGGGGCAUUAGUAUUCAAUUGUCAGAGGUGAAAUUCUUGGAUUUAUUGAAGACUAACUACUGCGAAAGCAUUUGCCAAGGAUGUUUUCAUUAAUC
rnacentral:rRNA from 1 species